rnacentral:rRNA from 1 species
GCAUACGCUUUCGAGAAGGAAAGCAGGGGAUCUUAGGACCUUGCGCUAUUCGAGCGGCCGACGUCUGAUUAGCUAGUUGGUGAGGUAAAGGCUCACCAAGGCAUCGAUCAGUAGCGGGUCUGAGAGGAUGAUCCGCCACACUGGGACUGAGACACGGCCCAGACUCCUACGGGAGGCAGCAGUGGGGAAUUUUGGACAAUGGGCGCAAGCCUGAUCCAGCCAUGCCGCGUGUCUGAAGAAGGCCUUCGGGUUGUAAAGGACUUUUGUCAGGGAGGAAAUCCCUAGCGCUAAUAUCGCUGGGGGAUGACAGUACCUGAAGAAUAAGCACCGGCUAACUACGUGCCAGCAGCCGCGGUAAUACGUAGGGUGCAAGCGUUAAUCGGAAUUACUGGGCGUAAAGCGUGCGCAGGCGGUUGUGUAAGUCUGAUGUGAAAGCCCCGGGCUUAACCUGGGAACUGCAUUGGAGACUGCACAGCUAGAGUGCGUCA